rnacentral:rRNA from 1 species
UGCAAGUCGAGCGGAACACUUCGGGUGUCGAGCGGCGGACGGGUGAGUAACGCGUGGGAAUCUACCCCAAACUGAGGGAUAACCUCGAGAAAUCGAGGCUAAUACCGCAUAUGGUCUUCGGAUUAAAGCUUCGGCGGUUUGGGAAGAGCCUGCGUUGGAUUAGCUAGUUGGUAAGGUAAUAGCUUACCAAGGCUACGAUCCAUAGCUGGUCUGAGAGGAUGAUCAGCCACACUGGAACUGAGACACGGUCCAGACUUCUACGGAAGGCAGCAGUAGGGAAUCUUCCACAAUGGACGAAAGUCUGAUGGAGCAACGCCGCGUGCAGGAUGAAGGCCUUCGGGUUGUAAACUGCUUUUAUGAGUGAAGAUUAUGACGGUAACUCAUGAAUAAGGAUCGGCUAACUCCGUGCCAGCAGCCGCGGUCAUACGGAGGAUCCAAGCGUUAUCCGGAAUUACUGGGCGUAAAGAGAUGCGUAGGUGGUUCUUUAAGCAAAACAUGAAAUCACAAGGCUCAACCUUGUGGCUGUGUUUUGAACUGGAGGACUAGAGAAUGGUAGAGGUAACUGGAAUUCCUAGUGUAGGAGUGAUAUCCGUAGAUAUUAGGAGGAACACCAAUGGCGAANGCAGGUUACUGGGCCAUUUCUGACACUGAGGCUCGAAAGCGUGGGGAGCAAACGGGAUUAGAUACCCCGGUAGUCCACGCCGUAAACGAUGAAUGCUAGCUGUUAUAGGUAUCGACCCCUGUAGUAGCGAANUUAACACGUUAAGCAUUCCGCCUGGGGAGUACGGUCGCAAGAUUAAAACUCAAAGGAAUUGANNGGNACCCGCACAAGCGGUGGANCGUGUUGUUUAAUUGGAUGANNNCCNAGAANCUUACCANGGUUUGACAUUCUCAGAAUUUCUACGAAAGU